ACCUCAUGGAGACUUCCCUAGUCUCCACAAGUUUUCAGCACACAGAGCAUACUGGGGACAGAAACUCCAAGACAGCCAAGAACAACUGCUGUCUCAUGUCUUGGAUGAGACCAAAAGUCACACUCAGCACCUUGCAAUGGUGAAUAACAUCAUCAACAUCAUCGCUUUGACUUUUGGACUCUGGGUUUGCAGCGGGACAUGGAGGGAACGGUAGGCAUAGAGAAUGUGCUGUGCUGAUAUGGUUUAUGUAAUAUUUUUCAAAAUCUUUCAAUAAUUUGUGUUUAUGUGUUCUACUAGAUCCUGAACUCUUGUCUCAAAAUGAUUGAGAAGGUAGUGUAGCUCCUGUGAAAUAUUUAAUUCAAAAUUAUUGGAUAGUCUAGUUCAAUAGUCAAUAUAUUUUGACAGUAAGAGAUUUAGCAAACUUUCUCU